CUACGGGGCGCUGCAGUGGGGAAUAUUGCACAAUGGAGGAAACUCUGAUGCAGCAACGCCGCGUGGAGGAUGACACUUUUCGGAGCGUAAACUCCUUUUAUAUAGGAAGAAGAUGACGGUACUAUAUGAAUAAGCGCCGGCUAACUCCGUGCCAGCAGCCGCGGUAAUACGGAGGGCGCAAGCGUUACUCGGAAUCACUGGGCGUAAAGAGCGUGUAGGCGGAUUAAAAAGUCAGAAGUGAAAUCCUAUAGCUUAACUAUAGAACUGCUUCUGAAACUCUUAAUCUAGAAUAUGGGAGGGGUAGAUGGAAUUUCUGGUGUAGGGGUAAAAUCCGUAGAGAUCAGAAGGAAUACCGAUUGCGAAGGCGAUCUACUAGAACAUUAUUGACGCUGAGACGCGAAAGCGUGGGGAGCAAACAGGAUUAGAUACCCUAGUAGUC
rnacentral:rRNA from 1 species